GCCAUGACCCAGCGUGAGAUCCACCACUGGCUGCCUUUCUGUGACGGGCAGGGAGCCAGGAGCCCCUCCGCUCCCCCAGGCCAGGAGUGGACCAAGGGAGGACAGAGGGCAGAGGUGCGGAAGAGGGAUGGGGCCUGGCCUGGCUCCCAGCCUCCUGGGCGGGGCCACCUGGGCUUGUUACCAUGGUGACUGGUUUCCCUGGUUACCCGGGAGCCUGCAGAACCACAGCCAGGCAGGGGCGGCUGGCGGGGAGGGGGCAGAGACGCCCCUUGGGAGGCCUGGCUGUCUGGGCCCUCAGGCCCCGGGGGCCCGCAGCAGAGCCCCACCUCCCUGGCUGGCGUGCAGAGGUGGUCCAGGCCCUACCCCCAGGCACAGGCUGGUGUCCUCCUAACACAGUUGCAGAAGGAGUCAGCCAGCCAUGGCGUGAAGAAGAGAGAAAAAACGUUCAACUAUGCCAGUCUUUGCAGUUGAUUUCCUGUGGCUCUAAAACAAAGCCACUGAAGACUUGGGAAGAAACUGAGCUGUGCCGCUGGCCACGUCCUGCAGGUCAGCAAAGCCAAACCAUCGCGACUCAGUGGCUUCUGUCCACACCUGUGACCAGGGCGACCAGCCAGCAGGCUCUGCAGGGAGCAGCACUACCUGCCAAUGCUGGACAGCGUCACCGAUGUGCUCAGUAAUAUCCCACUAAAAGAGACGCUGAAUCUCUGAGCAACAACCCGCAGGGCUGUGUGUCUGCGAGCACAGCCCUGGGCGACGGGCGGACGUCAUCCAAGGCUCCAGGUCACCCAGGGGUGGUGAGAGAUGACGGCCGGGUCGCGGCCGUGGAGCCUGCAGUGCCAGUGUCUUUGGGACACAGCCUGUCCUCUGCUGUUCGGGCAACAGUAGACGCCAGGGUGUGCGACUCGCACCUGUGUAGUGUUAACACCAGCAGCCCAGCUGUCUUCCUUCAGAGCACGUGGCACCUGCUCUGCCCCCACACAACACACGGGGAUCCCGCUGGACCAACCCCUGCCCAGGUCCAGCAGCCGCCCUGCGAGCGAGCAGCUUGAAUGUUUUACCCAGGGUCGGUUUUUUUUUUUUAUCAAACAUGGGGUAAUAAAUGAGUAUUUCUUUAUCA
rnacentral:lncRNA from 1 species